AUUCUCUAUCUGAUGGAGGGCAAAAAUUUCCAUUUAACUGUGUCUCACAUCGAACUCCUCAUUUGAAAGGGGCACCAGAAUGACUCUUUUUGUUCCAGUGGUUCUCAAAUUCACAUCCUCUGUCGAAGAGGUCUAUAAAUGUCAUCCAGUCAUACCAGGGCUUCAGUGCCUCUCCCUCUCCCUAUGGGAGCCUCAGACACACCACAUCUAGUCAUAAAUAUUUCCUCUUCUCCCUGUGUCUAUUGGGCAACAAAGCCUUCUCGAAUGCCCAUAUUGGACUGAAAUAUUUCCUUUUUUUUCAGUGGUGGACACAUACCUACCCUCUCUUGUAAAGUGUAAAUAGAUCUUGUCUUAUUGACUAUGUGUGCCUGCUAUAUUACAACUGUCUAAGAUUACUUCCAAACUUCUUCCUGUUACAAAUAUUCGGAGACAUUCCUUCAUUCAAGAAAAGUGGCCUUGCUCUUAUGUCAUCUGACUAAAAAUCCCCCAGACUGGAAAUCCCCCAGAUUCUCCAUCAUCCCAGUGUAUGUCCUACGUAUAACUUCUAAUUUCCAUGGUCUGGGAAGCACUGUUCUGACCUAAGAGAUUUCUGAACACUCUGGACUGAAAUCCCAAACAGAAGAGUAUCAAGGUAAGGGUAAAUCAGUUUACUAUCUUUGUUUUGUUACCUUAGACAGAGACAUCCUGGCCUCCAUGCAGAGGAAUGUGUGGAUGGACAUAUAUUUAAGGAAGACACUAAACCAGAAAAUACUACAUUACACCCUCUUAAAAGACUUCUAAGAUUGUUGUCAUGCCUACCACUGACAUUCAGAUGAUGUGUAUUCUUGAUUGUGAUUUCAUGUUUGGAGCUGAUGAAGGAACCCAGGAGAAGAACAUAUGCCUGAGAAGAAGAACUAGUGUGGAAUUGUCAGCCAGGUUUUUGGUGAGUGCUCAGACUGCUUCCUGAUCCGGCACCACAUUUACUACAGUGGACAGAUGCUCUAGUCUCUGAUGAGGAGUUGCUAGCUGUAAGGUAGUACCUGGAAUGGGCUCUACUGCAUGAGGUUGGAAGUCUCCAGAGCAGCAAGGAGAGUGGGGAGUAGAACUCAUCAUCUUUAGGUCACUCAUCCCCGAUGGAUUGUUCCCAACCUUAGUAUACAGACAUGGAUGGUUGAACACAAACCUGUCAGGCUGACAACGCAAUAGACAUCUACUAAAGUCCUUGGAACCAUGUUCAGAGUGCUGCACAUCCUCCUAAAGAUGCCACGGAUGACAUGGUUCCUUGUGAUUGUUGUUCUCUUCUUGUUGUUGCUGUUUUCUUUUAACUUUUGAAGAGGAUACAUUAUUAGUCUGUUGCUAUGUUAGUCAUCUCCUGGCAUUAGAAACCAACAUGCCACUGCUUAAAUGUUUUACAUUUCCUACUCUUUUUGGAAAACACAAUGUAUGCACAUCAUUUUUUCCUAUUGUUUCAAAGACAUACCACUAUGUAAUUCAACUUUACAAUUGGAAUCAUUUUGACCAAUAUUCACAUGAAUAUAAAUUUUAUGUGUAAA
rnacentral:lncRNA from 1 species